GUGCUCAAUUUGGCAGCUUAUAUACUAGAAUUGGAAUGAUACAGAGAAGAUGAGCUUGGCUUCUAUGCAAGGAUGCCAUGCAAAUUCGUGAAGCAUUCCAUAUUAAA